rnacentral:ncRNA from 1 species
UUGUUUGCGAAUGCAGCCCUAAUCGGGUGGUAAAUUCCAUCCAAGGCUAAAUACGGGCAAGAGACCGAUAGAGAACAAGUACCGCAAGGGAAAGAUGAAAAGGACUUUGAAAAGAGAGUUAAAGAGUGCUUGAAAUUGCUGGGAGGGAAGCAGAUGGAGGCUGGCGAUGCGUCUCAGUCGGAUGCAGAACGACUCAAGCUGGUCCGUCGCUCGACUCGAGGUGCGAACCAGCACAGGCCGUUGCAUCAGCACAAGCGUGGGUGGAGUACUGCCUGUUGGUUUUCCGUUGUGGCGGUCAAGGAACGAAGCAUGCGCCCUUGGGGCGGGCCACUGUGCACCUGCACGCUCAUGGUGUUGGUUGGCGGGCUUUCCAUUCGACCCGUCUUGAAACAUGGACCAACGAGUCUAACAUGUGUGCGAGUCGGUGGGUUUGUAAACCUGCGAGGCGUAAGGAAGCUGACGGGCGAGAACCCCUCUCCACGGGGUGCAUUUCCGACCGACCUUGAGCUUGUGCGAAGGGUUCGAGUGCGAGCACACCUGUUGGGACCCGAAAGAUGGUGAACUAUGCCUGAGCAGGGCGAAGCUAGAGGAAAAUCUGGUGGAGGCCCGUAGCGAUACUGACGUGCAAAUUGUUCUUCUGACUUGGGUAUAGGGGCGAAAGACUAAUUGAACCAUCUAGUAGUUGGUUUCCUCCGAAGUUUCCCUCAGGAUAGCUGGAGCUCACGUGCGAGUUUUAUCGGGUAAAGCAAAUGAUUAGAGGCAUCGGGGGCGUAACGCCCUCGACCUAUUCUCAAACUUUAAAUAGGUAAGACGGUGUGGCUGCUCCAUUGAGCCGUGCCACAGAAUUGAGAGCUCCAAGUGGGCCAUUUUUGGUAAGCAGAACUGGCGAUGCGGGAUGAACCGAAAGUCGAGUUACGGUGCCAAACUGCAUGCUAACCCAAAUCCCACAAAGGGUGUUGGUUGAUUAAGAUAGUAGGACGGUGGUCAUGGAAGUCGAAAUCCGCUAAGGAGUGUGUAACAACUCACCUGCCGAAUCAACUAGCCCCGAAAAUGGAUGGCGCUGAAGCGCGCGACCUAUA